ensembl:snRNA U6 U6 spliceosomal RNA
GUGCUCGCUUCAGCAGCACAUAUACUAAAGUUGGAAUGAUACAGAAAUUAGCAUGGCCCUUGUGCAAGGAUGACACGAAAAAUUAAGGAAAAAAAAAAAAUGAA